GCCAGUGUGGCAUAGUGGUUUGAAUGUUGGACUAUGACUCUAGAGACCAUGGUUCAAUUCCUAGCUCUGCCA